rnacentral:rRNA from 1 species
GGUAUAGGGGCGAAAGACUAAUCGAACCAUCUAGUAGCUGGUUCCCUCCGAAGUUUCCCUCAGGAUAGCUGGCRCUCUGUYCGCAGUUUUAUCYGGUAAAGCGAAUGAYUAGAGGYCUUGGGGCCGAAACGAUCUCAACCUAUUCUCAAACUUUAAAUGGGUAAGAAGCCCGGCUCGCUGGCUUGGAGCCGGGCGUGGAAUGYGAGYGGCCUAGUGGGCCACUUUUGGUAAG